rnacentral:rRNA from 1 species
ACUUUCUUGCGUUGUGUUUUCUUGUUUUUUAGAAAAUUAAAAGAGUAAAGGAGAAGUUCGUUCCGAAUUGGGGGCAUUUUUUGUAGUGGAGAGAGCGCCGCAGAGAUUGAAAGGGAAUCGGGUUAAUAAUCGCGAACCCGGACAUGGAGAUUGGUCCUUCGGGGCCCAGUGCGAUAACGCAAACCAGCUCCGAGACGCCGAUGCGAGCUCUGGGAAGAGUUUUCUUUUCUCUGUAAGGACCAUCUCCUUACAGAGAAAAGAAAACUCUUCCCAGGGCUCGCAUCGGCGUCUCGGAGCUGGUUUGCGUUACCGCACUGGGCCCCGAAUGGGUUCGCCCAGAGUUAGGGAUGGUGGCUCCGUAGAGCAGUGCGGCUCUUGCGCCGUCCGUGUGUUCGCGUCGGCCCUUGAAAAUCCGAGUGAGGGAGUGUGAUUUUUGUGCUGGACCGCACCCCCAUCCGCAGCAGGUCUCCAAGGUGAACAGCCUCUAGU